rnacentral:tRNA from 1 species
AGCAAUGGAGCUCAGUGGUAGAGCGACUGCCUGCUAUGCAUGAGGCCCUCGGUUCAGCCCCAGUACUGCUA